UGGUGAUGAUGGCGAAGAGGUCACACCCGUUCCCAUACCGAACACGGAAGUUAAGCUCUUCAGCGCCGAUGGUAGUCGGGGGUUUCCCCCUGUGAGAGUAGGACAUCGCCAGGCA
rnacentral:rRNA from 2 species